rnacentral:tRNA from 1 species
UCCCUGGAGGACUAGUGGUUAGGCCUCUGCACUCUCAUCACUGUGGCCUGGGUUCAAUUCCUGGCCAGGGAA